GUAGGAAACACGGCGCCUGAGCGGCACAAACGCUCAAAAGUUUGGUUACACUUUAUGAGAAAGGAUGACAACAGGGCAACGUGCAAUACUUGCAAAGUAGAGAUUUCAUCAAAGGGAGGAAACACUACGAAUAUGCAAAAGCAUUUGCUCAAAAAACACGCGAUUGCUUUCAACGAAUGUCGUGUUUUUGAUCCGCUCCGGACUAGCGAAGCUCAACCCAGCAGCAGCGGUAGCGUUUCCACGUCCUCUCCCGUUAAUACUGCAGAUAACCAUGAUGAGAGAGACAGAGUCUGGCUGGCUCAGAUGCUGGCAGUUCUCGCUGCAGUCUACCGGUAGCGUCUCCUUUCAGGCCAGGAUAGACGAAUGUCAACCAGCAGUGUCUAAGUUUGUGGUCAAAGGCUUGCACCCAUUUGCCACAGCAGAUGCCCCCGAUUUCACUUUGCCAUGUGUGAAGCUUGUGGUGAUAUAACUGCUGAGCAAUGUCAAGCCUGGAUUCGUCAUGCCAGGAGAUUUUUCCCACGGUGCCUGAACAACGAAGACAUGCAUUGUGAUGUUGAUGAUGGCCCAAUGUUAAUAACCGGCUUGAUUAAUUGUGUAAAAGUGAUAAAAAUAAAAUAAAAAAUAUAUUGUGCUUAUGUAAAUGACUUGUUGUUUUUUCUCCCUUUUUCGUGUGUGUAUAUGUGUAUAUGUGUGUGUAUAUAUGUAUAUAUUAUAUAUAUAUAUAUAUGUAUAUAUUAUAUAUAUAUGUAUGUGUUGUUUUGUUUUUUUUUUG
ensembl:lncRNA